rnacentral:rRNA from 1 species
AACGUAGGACACAAGCGUUAUCCGGAGUUACUGGGCGUAAAGGGCGUGUAGGCGGAUCGGUAAGUCUACUCUGAAAGCUCCUGGCUAAACUGGGAGAGGCGAGUGGAGACUGUCGGUCUAGAGUGAGGAAGAGGAAAGUGGAAUUCCGCGUGUAGUGGUGAAAUGCGUUGAUAUCGGAAGGAACGCCGGUGGCGAAAGGGACCUGCUGGAUCUCUACUGACGCUGAGGCGCGAAAGCCAGGGGAGCGAACGGG